rnacentral:rRNA from 1 species
AGUGAACGCUGGCGGCGUGCUUAACACAUGCAAGUCGAACGGCAGCACGGGAGCAAUCCUGGUGGCGAGUGGCGAACGGGUGAGUAAAGUAUCGGAACGUGCCCAGUCGUGGGGGAUAACGUAGCGAAAGUUACGCUAAUACCGCAUACGAUCUAUGGAUGAAAGCGGGGGAUCGCAAGACCUAGCGCGAAUGGAGCGGCCGAUAUCAGAUUAGGUAGUUGGGGGGGUAAAGGCUCACCAAGCCGACGAUCUGUAGCUGGUCUGAGAGGACGACCAGCCACACUGGGACUGAGACACGGCCCAGACUCCUACGGGAGGCAGCAGUGGGGAAUUUUGGACAAUGGGCGAAAGCCUGAUCCAGCCAUGCCGCGUGCAGGAUGAAGGCCUUCGGGUUGUAAACUGCUUUUGUACGGAACGAAAAGGUUUGGCCUAAUAAGCUGAGCUCAUGACGGUACCGUAAGAAUAAGCACCGGCUAACUACGUGCCAGCCGCCGCCGUAA